AUGAACGCUGGCGGCGUGCCUAAUACAUGCAAGUCGAGCGAACAGACGAGGAGCUUGCUCCUCUGACGUUAGCGGCGGACGGGUGAGUAACACGUGGAUAACCUACCUAUAAGACUGGGAUAACUUCGGGAAACCGGAGCUAAUACCGGAUAAUAUAUUGAACCGCAUGGUUCAAUAGUGAAAGACGGUUUUGCUGUCACUUAUAGAUGGAUCCGCGCCGCAUUAGCUAGUUGGUAAGGUAACGGCUUACCAAGGCGACGAUGCGUAGCCGACCUGAGAGGGUGAUCGGCCACACUGGAACUGAGACACGGUCCAGACUCCUACGGGAGGCAGCAGUAGGGAAUCUUCCACAAUGGGCGAAAGCCUGACGGAGCAACGCCGCGUGAGUGAUGAAGGUCUUCGGAUCGUAAAACUCUGUUAUUAGGGAAGAACAAAUGUGUAAGUAACUAUGCACGUCUUGACGGUACCUAAUCAGAAAGCCACGGCUAACUACGUG
rnacentral:rRNA from 1 species